rnacentral:rRNA from 1 species
AUGGCCGGGUACCGGCGCACCAUCUCGUUCCCUACCCCGAAGGCGGCAGCCGCCGCCAACGGCAAGCUCGCGGCGGCCUACCGCGUCCGCUCCGCCAGCCUCCCCUGCCGCUUCCACCCGCUCGUGCUACAGCUCGACGACGACGUCGCCGCGCUGCGCCUCGUGCUCGGCGCGUCCUGCUCGGCGUCCUCCGUCUCCGCGGCCGCCUCGCACAUCGGCCGGGUACUGGCCUCGCUCUCGGACCUGCUCCACCACCCGCAGGCGCAGGAGCCGCUGCGCCGCCUCGGCAUGUCCCCGCUCGCCGAGCGCCUGCUCGACGACUUCCUCCGCCUCGCCGACGCGCACGGCAGCUUCCGCCAGGCGCUCGUCGCGCUCGCGGCGCUCCAGGCCGAGACGCGCGCCGCGCUGCGCCGCGGCGACCCCGGGCGGCUGGCGUCCGCGGCUCGCGCGCAGCGCCGCGCCGGACGCGACCUCCCCCGCCUCGCGGCCGCCGCCCGCGCCGUGGCCACCAAGACUCCCACGCCGCUCCCCGAGGAUCUCCAGCCCGAGACCGCGGCCCUCGGCGCGGCGAUCGCCGACUCGACCGUCGCCGUGGCGUCCGCCUCCGCGGCCGUCUUCUCCGGCGUCUCCUCCCUCUCCAACGCAGCCGCCGCCGCCCGCGUCGAGGUCGCCUCCACGCCGUGCUGGAUCACCGCGCCCUCAAGAUUCUCAUCCGCAUCCGCAUCAGACGCGCCAAGAACCAGCCACCAGCGCGUAUGGUGGGUGGCGGACCUCGUGCGCUGGAUGUCGCGCGCGAAGCGCCGGUCGGCCGGGAAACAGAGCAUCACCAACGAGGACGACGCGUCCACUUCCUCUACGGUGCAGCUCCGGCCCGAGGCGCGGAUGAAGCCGGAGGAGCGGGCGCGGAAGGCCGCACUCGAGCUCCACGACAACCUGGAGCGGUGCAUCGCCAGCGUUGACGGCAGCGGCGAGAAGGUGUUCCGGGCGCUGAUCAACACCAGAGUCUCCCUGCUCAACAUCCUCAGCCCAACCUUCUGA